rnacentral:lncRNA from 1 species
GCCAUUUUUCAAAAAGCACAAUAAGGAUACCAUCUAGACCCAGUCACACAAGAUAACUGACCAUUCUCAUUCUUAUUAUGUCAAAGGACAGUCUAGAGAAAACAGUUCAUUUUAAACAUCAUCCCUAAGAACUAUUAACAUUCUCUUGGGACAGAGAAGAGAAGACUUCCAUUGCUUGUCAGUAGAUUUGACAGCAGACUUUCAUUCUUUUCUUUCUUUCUUUUUUGGAUACAGAGUCUUGCUUUGUCACCCAGGCUGGAGUGCCGUGGCACGAUCUCAGCUCACAGAAACCUCUGCCUACUGAGUGCAAGCAAUUCUUGUGCCUCAGCCUCCCAAAUAGUUGGGAUUAUAGGCGUGGGCCACCACACUCAGCUAAUGUUUGUAUUUUUAGUAGAGACGGAAUUUCACCACUUUGGCCAGUCUGGUCUCAAACUCCACUUUCUCCACUUUUUUUUUUUUUUUUUUUUUUUUUUGAUGGGGUCUUACUCUGUUACCCAGGCUGGAGUGCAAUGGCACAAUGACAGCUCACUGCAGCCUUGACCUCUUGGGUUCAAGUGAUCUCCCCGCCUCAGCCUCCCAUGUAGCUGGGACCAUAGGCCCAUGCAACCAUGCCUGGCUAACUUUUUCAUUUUUUGUAGAGAUGAGGUCUCAUUUUGUUGUCCAGGCUGGAACAGCAGAUUUUCAUUUCCAAGCACAUAUAGUACUCAUUUAAAACUUAUACAGAUAUCAAGUGGAUAAUAUCUCCCUUCUUCCCAAGAUUUGAUUGAUGAUUUAAUUCUGUGAUCUUCUACUUCAUGAGGGUGUGAUUUCAUGAGAGUCAUUUUAAUUCUCUAGGUCUGAGAUGGAAUUGAAGUGUUACUUUUUUGAUUGUUAAUUGUGAAAUCUCAAAAUUCAUUUAACCCACUUUUGAAUCUUAUACACCAAAAAAUGUCACACUCUAGGCAUUCCAAGUUAUUUAACUUUAUCAUGCCCUCUAGAUUCAUGAUCAGCACUUAACUUAAACUCAGUUGGAUUGUAAACGUAAAUGGCUCUAGACAGUCCCUGAAUCCUGUUAUCUCCCCAAGUGAAGGACUCUUAAUCAUCAUAAAAAGUAUCCUGUCAAUGUAUUUGAUUAAAAAUAACAUCAGUGGAAUGUUUAUUUCCAAAUGCCUUUUUUUGUACAGGAGGAGUGCAAGUAACUUAAAAGUGAAAUUUUAAAGCUUGUAAAAGUUUGGCUUAUGAAUGAACUCUCUGCACAUUUAAGUAUUUAAAGUUCUCAUGCUUUGGCAGCCAUUAUCU